UGCACAUUUUCAUCGCAAGCUGUUUACUUUGGUGAAAUGAACCUGGAGGAGUAUGUGGUACAAAAUCCAAGUCUGCCAUGCUUCACAGGUUGAAUGGUGAUGGAGCGAUUUGCAAGAUAAUGGCCAAUCAUUUCAGGCUUGGUUUGAACCUAGAUGAAGGUUUUGCCAUGGUACUCACCCACCAUGUUGGGAGGAUAAGUGGUAUCCUGAAGAUUGCUCAACAGUGAGUCUUGGAAUACCUCAGCCCAAUCACUGUGAUCUUGAUGAGCAGAAUUUCAGAGCAAGAAAACAAGUGUGAUGUCUCUGUGUGCCAGUAUAAUAUUUCUGGAACCCUUACUCCAAAAUACAUGCCCUCAUACCGAGAAUCAUGACUUGUUUCUGCCUCAUUUGACCAUGCUCUGCUCCCGCAGCAACUCACUGCUUAACAGAGAUCUUC